UUUUUAACCGAGUCUGCCUCA
rnacentral:piRNA from 1 species